ensembl:misc_RNA
GUGACAACCCUAGAGACAGAAGUGGCCAUGUAUCCCCAGGGCAGAUACCACAUGGGCAAAAGCAUUCCAGCAUUGCCUCUUCAGCAAGCUUCAGCCCUCAUGUGAAAGGACAGGAUCUGCAGGUCACAUGGAGAUUAGUCUCUGUCCUUCAGCCCUGCCUGCU